UCAAUGACUGCCAUUUGGAAGAGAAAAGCUCCAAGACUCAAGAUCAAACCCAUGGAGCAUGAAGUCAUUCUGGGAAUUGUAAAUGAGCAUCAUCACUGGACAUUAGUGGUCAUUUACCCACAAGAAAAGAAGUCACUGUAUCUUGAUCCACUCGGAGAAACUAAACAAGGUAUCCAAAAUUGUUUGGAAUCAACAAGGGCAUUCAUGC